GACGGAAGGUGCAAGCGUUGCUCGGAAUCACUGGGCGUAAAGGGUGCGUAGGCGGCCGUGCAAGUCUGGCGUGAAAGCCCCGGGCUCAGCCCGGGAAGUGCGCUCGAAACUGCGCGGCUCGAGUGCCGGAGGGGAGAGUGGAAUUCCUGGUGUAGCGGUGAAAUGCGUAGAUAUCAGGAGGAAUACCGGUGGCGAAGGCGGCAUCCUGGACCGGUAUUGACGCUGAGGCGCGAAAGCCAGGGGAGCAAACGGG
rnacentral:rRNA from 1 species